AAGGAAUUAGCUUAACAGGGAGAGCAACCGUUUUACAUACGGUAGGUUAGGUGUUCAAACCACUUAUUCUUUA